AAUAUGUGUUUAGGAUAUUAUAAUUACUUAGUACAGAGAUCAUAUUAAAUAUGUGUUUAGGUUAUUAUAAUUACUGACGUAAAUCACAUGACAUAUGUGUUUAUGUUAUUAUUGUUACUUAAUUAGAUCUUAUCUUAUUAAGUAUGUGUUUAUGUUAUUAAUACUUCUUACAUAAAUCUCAUUACAUAUGUGUUUAGGUUAUUAUAACUACUUACUGAAAUCACAUUAAAUAUGUGUUUAGGUUUUUAUAAUAACUUAGUGAGAUCGCAUUAGCUAUGUGUUUAGGUUAUCAAAUGGGUGCACAGAUUGAGAUCAUAAAUAAACACAUGUACAGAGUGUAUUGUAUAGUUUAAUGUUGGAUGCACGACAAAAGAAGGGUAACCCAACGUCUUUUGAAGGUCAACAUAUGUCCUAAAAGAUGAGACAGGUGUCUUUACAAUCAUGUGUCAAGCUCUGCAAUGGAAAAUUUAAACUAUAGUAUUUUUAUUUAUAAUAUAAGAAAGCCUGAAGCACGUUAUUAUUGUAUGUUAUGUAACAUUUUGUAGUUGAUUGUGGUUGAAAUAUGUUUUCG
rnacentral:lncRNA from 1 species